rnacentral:rRNA from 1 species
UACGUAGGGAGCGAGCGUUGUCCGGAAUUACUGGGUGUAAAGGGUGCGUAGGCGGGUAAUUAAGUCAGGUGUGAAAUCCAUCGGCUCAACCGGUGAACUGCACUUGAAACUGAUUAUCUUGAGUGGAGUAGAGGCAAGCGGAAUUCCGAGUGUAGCGGUGAAAUGCGUAGAUAUUCGGAGGAACACCAGUGGCGAAGGCGGCUUGCUGGGCUCUAACUGACGCUGAGGCACGAAAGCAUGGGGAGCAA